rnacentral:rRNA from 1 species
AUUGAACGCUGGCGGAAUGCUUUACACAUGCAAGUCGAGCGGCAGCGCGGGGCAACCUGGCGGCGAGCGGCGAACGGGUGAGUAAUGCAUCGGAACGUACCUUGUAGUGGGGGAUAACUAUCCGAAAGGAUGGCUAAUACCGCAUACGACCUGAGGGUGAAAGGGGGGGAUCGCAAGACCUCUCGCUAUAAGAGCGGCCGAUGUUCGAUUAGGUAGUUGGUGAGGUAAAGGCUCACCAAGGCGACGCUCGAUAGCUGGUCUGAGAGGAUGAUCAGCCACACUGGGAAUGAGACACGGCCCAGACUCCUACGGGAGGCAGCAGUGGGGAAUUUUGGACAAUGGGGGCAACCCUGAUCCAGCCAUUCCGCGUGAGUGAAGAAGGCCUUCGGGUUGUAAAGCUCUUUCGGCAGGAACGAAACGGUGGUCCCUAAUACGGAUUGCUAAUGACGGUACCUGAAGAAGAAGCACCGGCUAACUACGUGCCAGCCGCCGCCGUAAAAC